rnacentral:rRNA from 1 species
CCUACGGGGGGCUGCAGUGAGGAAUAUUGGUCAAUGGACGAGAGUCUGAACCAGCCAAGUAGCGUGAAGGAUGACUGCCCUAUGGGUUGUAAACUUCUUUUAUAUGGGAAUAAAAUGUUCCACGUGUGGGAUUUUGUAUGUACCAUAUGAAUAAGGAUCGGCUAACUCCGUGCCAGCAGCCGCGGUAAUACGGAGGAUCCGAGCGUUAUCCGGAUUUAUUGGGUUUAAAGGGAGCGUAGGAGGAUUGUUAAGUCAGUUGUGAAAGUUUGCGGCUCAACCGUAAAAUUGCAGUUGAAACUGGCAGUCUUGAGUACAGUAGAGGUGGGCGGAAUUCGUGGUGUAGCGGUGAAAUGCUUAGAUAUCACGAAGAACUCCGAUUGCGAAGGCAGUUCACUGGACUGCAACUGACACUGAGGCUCGAAAGUGUGGGUAUCAAACAGGAUUAGAUACCCUUGUAGUC